AAUGGGGGCAACCCUGAUCCAGCCAUCCCGCGUGUAGGAAGACUGCCUAUGGGUUGUAAACUACUUUUAGAUAGGAAGAAAGCGGUUACUUGUAACCGUAUGACGGUACUAUCAGAAUAAGCACCGGCUAACUCCGUGCCAGCAGCCGCGGUAAUACGGAGGGUGCAAGCGUUAUCCGGAAUCACUGGGUUUAAAGGGUGCGUAGGCGGCCUGGUAAGUCAGAGGUGAAAUGCACGAGCUUAACUGGUGAAUUGCCUUUGAAACUAUCAAGCUAGAAUUAUGUUGAGGUCAGCGGAAUGAGUCAUGUAGCGGUGAAAUGCAUAGAUAUGACUUAGAACACCGAUUGCGUAGGCAGCCGGCUAGGCAUAUAUUGACGCUGAGGCACGAAAGCGUGGGGAGCGAACAGGAUU
rnacentral:rRNA from 1 species